rnacentral:rRNA from 1 species
CACGUAGGGGGCGAGCGUUGUCCGGAUUUAUUGGGCGUAAAGAGCUCGUAGGCGGUUUCGUAAGUCGGAUGUGAAAACUCCAGGCUCAACUUGGAGACGCCAUUCGAUACUGCGAUGACUUGAGUCCGGUAGGGGAGUGUGGAAUUCCUGGUGUAGCGGUGAAAUGCGCAGAUAUCUGGAGGAACACCGGUGGCGAAGGCGGCAUUCUGGACCGAUAUUGACGCUGAGGAGCGAAAGCCAGGGGAGCAAACGGG